rnacentral:rRNA from 1 species
AAGCUCGUAGUUGAAUUUCGGGGUUCUACCGUUGGUCGGGCAAUAGUCUGUACUGGCGUGUAGAAUUUCUACCUUCUGGGGAACCAUCAUGUUAUUUAUUUAGUGUGGUGGGAAACCNGAACCUUUACCUUGAAAAAACUUAGAGUGUUCAAAGCAGGCUUACGUCUGAAUACAUUAGCAUGGAACUAAUAAAAUAGGACGGUGGUCCUGUUUUGUUGGUUUCUGAAUCACCGUAAUGAUUAAUAGGGAUAGUUGGG